CCUACGGGUGGCAGCAGUGAGGAAUAUUGGUCAAUGGUCGGGAGACUGAACCAGCCAAGCCGCGUGAGGGAGGAAGGUACAGAGUAUCGUAAACCUCUUUUGUCAGGGAACAAAGACUGGGACGCGUCCCCGGAUGAGUGUACCUGAAGAAAAAGCAUCGGCUAACUCCGUGCCAGCAGCCGCGGUAAUACGGAGGAUCCGAGCGUUAUCGGGAUUUAUUGGGGUUAAGGGGUGGGAGGGGGGUUGGUUAAGUCAGCGGGAAAAGCUCGGGGCUAACCCCAGACCCGCCGUUGAAACUGGGAGUCUCGAGUAGGGGAGAGGUAGGCGGAAUGCGUGGUGUAGCGGUGAAAUGCGUAGAUAUCACGCAGAACUCCGAUUGCGAAGGCAGCAUGCCGGCACCACACUGACGCUGAGGCACGAAAGCGUGGGUAUCGAACAGGAUUAGAUACCCCUGUAGUC
rnacentral:rRNA from 1 species